UGGCGGACGGGUGAGUAACGCGUGAGGAACCUGCCCUUCAGAGGGGGACAACAGUUGGAAACGACUGCUAAUACCGCAUGAAGCAGCGAGGGGACAUCCCCUUGCUGUCAAAGAUUUAUCGCUGAAAGAUGGCCUCGCGUCUGAUUAGCUAGUUGGUGGGGUAACGGCCCACCAAGGCGACGAUCAGUAGCCGGACUGAGAGGUUGACCGGCCACAUUGGGACUGAGAUACGGCCCAGACUCCUACGGGAGGCAGCAGUGGGGAAUAUUGGGCAAUGGACGCAAGUCUGACCCAGCAACGCCGCGUGAAGGAAGAAGGCUUUCGGGUUGUAAACUUCUUUUAACAGGGAAGAGAAGAAGACGGUACCUGUUGAAUAAGCCACGGCUAACUACGUGCCAGCAGCCGCGGUAAU
rnacentral:rRNA from 1 species